CGUAGGGUGCGAGCGUUAAUCGGAAUUACUGGGCGUAAAGCGUGCGCAGGCGGUUCGUUAAGUCAGAUGUGAAAGCCCCGGGCUCAACCUGGGAACUGCAUUUGAAACUGGCGGGCUUGAGUGUGGCAGAGGGGGUGGAAUUCCGCGUGUAGCAGUGAAAUGCGUAGAGAUGCGGAGGAACACCGAUGGCGAAGGCAGCCCCCUGGGCCAACACUGACGCUCAGGCACGAAAGCGUGGGGAGCAAACAGGAUUAGAUACCCUGGUAGUCCACGCCCUAAACGAUGCUCACUAGGUGUUGGGGAAGCGAUUCCUUGGUACCGUAGCUAACGCGUGAAGUGAGCCGCCUGGGGAGUACGGCCGCAAGGUUA
rnacentral:rRNA from 1 species